UACGGAGGGUGCAAGCGUUAUCCGGAUUUACUGGGUUUAAAGGGUGCGCAGGCGGAUAUGUAAGUCAGUGGUGAAAUCUAUAGGCUUAACCUGGAAAUUGCCGUUGAUACUAUAUAUCUUGAAUGCUGUGGAGGUAAGCGGAAUAUGUCAUGUAGCGGUGAAAUGCUUAGAUAUGACAUAGAACACCUAUUGCGAAGGCAGCUUACUACGCAGAUAUUGACGCUCAUGCACGAAAGCGUGGGGAUCAAACAGG
rnacentral:rRNA from 1 species